rnacentral:rRNA from 1 species
GACGAACGCUGGCGGCGUGCUUAACACAUGCAAGUCGAACGGAAAGGCCUCUUUCGGGGGGUACUCGAGUGGCGAACGGGUGAGUAACACGUGAGUAACCUGCCCUUGACUUUGGGAUAACUUCAGGAAACUGGGGCUAAUACCGGAUAGGAGCUCCUGCUGCAUGGUGGGGGUUGGAAAGUUUCGGCGGUUGGGGAUGGACUCGCGGCUUAUCAGCUUGUUGGUGGGGUAGUGGCUUACCAAGGCUUUGACGGGUAGCCGGCCUGAGAGGGUGACCGGCCACAUUGGGACUGAGAGACGGCCUAGACUCCUACGGGAGGCAGCAGUGGGGAAUAUUGCACAAUGGGUGGAAGCCUGAUGCAGCAACGCCGUGUGCGGGAUGACGGCCUUCGGGUUGUAAACCGCUUUCGCUCAUGACGAAGCUUUGUGUGACGGUAGUGGGUAAAGAAGCACCGGCUAACUACGUG